rnacentral:rRNA from 1 species
UACGUAGGGGGCAAGCGUUGUCCGGAUUUACUGGGCGUAAAGAGCGUGUAGGCGGCCACGCAGGUCCGUUGUGAAAACUGGAGGCUCAACCUCCAGCUGUCGACGGAAACCGUGUGGCUAGAGUCCGGAAGAGGAGAGUGGAAUUCCUGGUGUAGCGGUGAAAUGCGCAGAUAUCAGGAAGAACACCAAUGGCGAAGGCAGCUCUCUGGGACGGUACUGACGCUGAGACGCGUAAGCGUGGGGAGCGAACAGG